UGAGGAAUAUUGGUCAAUGGACGAGAGUCUGAACCAGCCAAGUAGCGUGCAGGAUGACGGCCCUCCGGGUUGUAAACUGCUUUUAGUUGGGAAUAAAAAAGGUGACGUGUCAUCUAUUGUAUGUACCAUCAGAAAAAGGACCGGCUAAUUCCGUGCCAGCAGCCGCGGUAAUACGGAAGGUCCAGGCGUUAUCCGGAUUUAUUGGGUUUAAAGGGAGCGUAGGCGGAGAGAUAAGUCAGCGGUAAAAUCGUGCGGCUCAACCGUACCUCGCCGUUGAUACUGUUUUUCUUGAGUGCACACAGGGAUGCUGGAAUUCGUCGUGUAGCGGUGAAAUGCUUAGAUAUGACGAAGAACUCCGAUCGCGAAGGCAGGUGUCCGGGGUGCAACUGACGCUGAGGCUCGAAAGUGCGGGUAUCAAACAGG
rnacentral:rRNA from 2 species